GGCGCUGUAGCUCAAUUGGAUAGAGCAUCACCCUCCGAAGGUGAAGGUUGCUGGUUCGAAUCUAGUCAGCGUCACCA
rnacentral:tRNA from 1 species